UUUUCCAAUUUCAGACCCCAGCAGAAAGAACACUCUAUGAGGUCCAAGUUCAACAAUCCCAGGGAAGAGAGAUCUAGCUUCUUUAGGCUGAAGUGUCAGUAUAAUGGUUUUGAAUUUAGGAAGGGCAGGCCAUCUUGACCCAGUAAAGCCCUUUAUGCAUUUACUUGAAAGAAGAUCACUUCCAUCUCAUCACACAAUCAGGCAGUAAGUAUUUACCAAGUAAUGAUUGCCUGCCAGCAGCAUGCAGUAAGUACAUUGUGAUGGAGAGAGAUAGACAUGUAAAGUGGAG
rnacentral:lncRNA from 1 species